CGCAGCCGCGGUAAUUCCAGCUCCAAUAGCGUAUAUUAAAGUUGUUGCAGUUAAAAAGCUCGUAGUUGAAUUUCGGGGUCAGUAGGUUGGUCGUGCCACCGGUAUGCACUGGUCUCACUGAUUCCUCCUUCCUGAUGAGCCGUAAUGCCAUUAAUUUGGUGUUGCGGGGAAUCUGGACUGUUACUUUGAAAAAUUAGAGUGUUUAAAGCAGGCUAACGCUUGAAUACAUUAGCAUGGAAUAAUGGAAUAGGACGUUCGAUCCUAUUUUGUUGGUUUCUAGGAUUGACGUAAUGAUUAAUAGGGAUAGUUGGGGGCAUUAGUAUUCAAUUGUCAGAGGUGAAAUUCUUGGAUUUAUUGAAGACUAACUACUGCGAAAGCAUUUGCCAAGGAUGUUUUCAUUAAUCAAGAACGAAAGUUAGGGGAUCGAAGACGAUCAGAUACCGUCGUAGUCUUAACCAUAAACUAUGCCGACUAGGGAUCGGAUGGAUGUUAAUUUUUUAAUGUACUCAUUCGGCGACCU
rnacentral:rRNA from 1 species